rnacentral:rRNA from 1 species
GACGAACGCUGGCGGCGUGCUUAACACAUGCAAGUCGAACGGAAAGGCCCUGCUUUUGUGGGGUGCUCGAGUGGCGAACGGGUGCGUAACACGUGAGUAACCUGCCCUUGACUUUGGUAUAACUUCCGGAAACUGGGGCUAAUACCGGCUAGGACCUCCUGCUGCAUGGUGGGGGUUGGAAAGCUUCGGCGGUUGGGGAUGGACUCGCGGCUUAUCAGCUUGUUGGUGGGGUAGUGGCUUACCAAGGCUUUGACGGGUAGCCGGCCUGAGAGGGUGACCGGCCACAGUGGGACUGAGGAACGGCCGAGAAUAGUACGGGGGGCAGAAGUGAGGAAUGUUGCCAAGUAAGAGGACGCCGGAUGCAGCGACGCGGCGGGCGGGAUAACUGCCUUCGGGUGGUAAUCCGCUUUCGCUUGUGACGACGCGUGAGUGACGGUACCGGGUCAAGAAGCACCGGCUAACUACGUG